AGAUGAUGAGGGCGUCACAUGCCACCUUCUUCAGGACCCGCUGGUGCUCCGGGGCCACCAGGUAGGCCGCCUCCUGUCCCUCCUGUACCCUCCGCAAGCUGCACCAACCCUGAUGAUGUCAGGGCUCCCAGCAUCUCACAGAAGGUUCAAGGUCCUGACCUUGUCCUCCUUCUCAUAUACGGAAGGAGACUGAGUGACGACGAACCGGACGUGCAGGUCACGUGCAGGCCGGAAGAUGUACUCGUUAGCUACGUACUUGAGACGAUACAGAAUGGAUAGCAGUUCUUCCAGAUACUCAUAAAUAACAGCCUCAUCUUCAUGCAAAGCCAAGCUGCGCUGUUGUGAGUCUUCUUUGCAGGCAGUGAGCUCCUCAAAGAUUACAGUUAGUUGCUGGGCAUCGUGGCUUUUAAUGUCUUCAUCAGAGAUGUCUCUCUGAUUCACAAUAAUAUCACAGCCCUGAGCUGCUUACGACCAGCUGGUAACCAUGAUUCCUCUCCGAGCUGUCAACCAGAAUUUUGAAA